rnacentral:rRNA from 1 species
GAUGAACGCUGGCGGCGUGCCUAAUACAUGCAAGUCGAGCGAACAGACGAGGAGCUUGCUCCUCUGACGUUAGCGGCGGACGGGUGAGUAACACGUGGAUAACCUACCUAUAAGACUGGGAUAACUUCGGGAAACCGGAGCUAAUACCGGAUAAUAUAUUGAACCGCAUGGUUCAAUAGUGAAAGACGGUUUUGCUGUCACUUAUAGAUGGAUCCGCGCCGCAUUAACUAGUUGGUAAGGUAACGGCUUACCAAGGCAACGGUGCGUAGCCGACCUGAGAGGGGGUAGGGCCACAGGGGAGGUGAGCCGCGGCAAGGGGACCGAGGGGGGGCACAGACGGGUAAGGUUCGCAAAGGGGGGAAAGUUUGCAGGAGGGACGGAGGGGGGAGGAAGAAGGGCUGCGUGCGGGAAAACUGUUUUUUGGGGGAAAAAAAAUUUGGAAUGUAACGAAGCGUGUUUGACGGUAACCGAUAAAGAAGCCCCGGCUAAAUACGUG